rnacentral:rRNA from 1 species
CCUACGGGAGGCAGCAGUAGGGAAUCUUCCGCAAUGGACGAAAGUCUGACGGAGCAACGCCGCGUGAACGAUGAAGGCCUUCGGGUCGUAAAGUUCUGUUGUUAGGGAAGAACAAGUGCUAGUUAAAUAAGCUGGCACCUUGACGGUACCUAACCAGAAAGCCACGGCUAACUACGUGCCAGCAGCCGCGGUAAUACGUAGGUGGCAAGCGUUGUCCGGAAUUAUUGGGCGUAAAGCGCGCGCAGGCGGUCCUUUAAGUCUGAUGUGAAAGCCCACGGCUCAACCGUGGAGGGUCAUUGGAAACUGGGGGACUUGAGUGCAGAAGAGGAAAGCGGAAUUCCACGUGUAGCGGUGAAAUGCGUAGAGAUGUGGAGGAACACCAGUGGCGAAGGCGGCUUUCUGGUCUGUAACUGACGCUGAGGCGCGAAAGCGUGGGGAGCAAACAGGAUUAGAUACCCUGGCAGUCCACGCCGUAAACGAUGAGUGCUAAGUGUUAGGGGGUUUCCGCCCCUUAGUGCUGCAGCUAACGCAUUAAGCACUCCGCCUGGGGAGUACGGCCGCAAGGCUGAAACUCAAAGGAAUUGACGG